UCACACCUCUGUUCUCCCGCCUUCCUUCUCCGACUUCAACUGUCGUCAGCGUCGUUGCAAGUGGCUGUUCGUCUGCAGCAGGGAGUUCUGUCAAGUUCUUGGAUUUUUCUCCUCCCCUGCGUUGUUGUCGGGUCUUCUUCUUCCUCCUCCUCCUUCAUCGCAGGCCUCCUCCUUCUUCUUUAGAUGUUGCGUUGUGCUGUGCGGUUGCCGUGGAGGGAGCUUCGACUUCUUUCCUCUGUUUUUCCUCUUCGUGCAGCUCACCAAAGGUCUCUCCCUGUUCUGCGUCGUCCUUGUUCUGGAGAUGAAAGACCAAGUAUCGCUGCAAGAGGAUUAAGUUGGAAGUAAAUUAUAUUUGGAAACUUUUCAGAUUCAUUAACUGAUGUUGGACCUCCUGUCUGUCAUUGAGGGGCCUACAACUAUGUUAGGUGAAUGUUUGUUUGUUUCUGUUUCUGUUUUUAUUUUUAUCUUAUUUUAUUUUUUGAAAUGCCUUUUCUUUAAUGUAAAUAUUUGAUUAUGUGAUUUAUUUUGAAAUUAUGUUUUAGAGGAUCCACGUUAACUAUAGAAAGAAUCCUAUUUUAUUUUAUAUAAAAAAAUGUUGAAGCUUUUAUUAUAAUGAAUAUUAUUAAGGAUGUCAGAAUUACAAUAUAAAUCCAACUAUGUUUGAAAAAUGGAAUAUUUUUUUGAUUUGAGGCUUAAGGGAUGUGUGAUAUAGUUCACAUCUCAUGCCGAUCACUCCCAUUUUUCGGGGCGUGACGCCUAUCCUCUUGUGUGGCCACUAAUUGACUUACUGAAUCAACCAUCACAAUUGCAAGAUGUUUUCCCUUCUUGUUUUAACCACUUUCACCUCUCUUUUGCUUACUUUCUGAAUUAGCACCACCACUGUAUGCAUUAUUCAAAUUAACCUGCCCAAUUUUAAGGAGAGCUCUUCCACUAAUGUUUCUCACAUCAUCACUGUCUCCUUAUCCUUCAGUCAAAUCCAAUUGAGGCCUAUACACAUCUUGCGGAUCAUCAGCCGCAAGUAUCUACAUGUAAGUGUCCCGUACUGCAACUGGCUAAAACAAUUGUGUCAAUUCUUAUACAUAUAGAAGUGCUCUAUGUCUGAAUUUCCUAUACUCAGGAUUCUCCUACACAUUUGCAAGAAUUGAGUCUAGUAUAUUUACAAAAUAAAGCAUCAAAUAUAUAGCAUGCUAUAAAUAAUUAUACAUCUUAAUCUUUUGAUUCCACCACUCCUUUGGUGCUAAUAUAGUAUUCUUUUCACUAUCUCAUUCCAGACCAAUUUCUUUGUUCAACAGUUUAUCCCAUAUAUUUUAGUCUUUCCUCAAAUUAUCCCAUUUGUUCUUCAGCUGUUUCUUAUCAUAGCUUCUAAAGUUUAAUGCAUUGAAUUGUUGCAUUAGCACUUCCCAACCUUCCUUUGAUAAAGUAGAGCCUUUACACUUUUUUUUCUAACUUGCUAGAGAGCUAAUUUAAUGAACAAUUCAGUUUCUUCAAUAGUCCAUAGUGCCUUCUCUUUACUCAUUUUUACUAUCUAAAUAUCAUAUUCUCAAUAAUCAAGUUGAA